rnacentral:lncRNA from 1 species
UAGCUACUAUGGCAAGUUUGGAGUUUAACGGUGUAGAAGAAUCUAAAUUUCUUCAAAUUUUGAUAGAAAAUACUUUAAACUAUCUAGAUUAAGGUUAAUAUUCUUGAUCUUGAAUUUAAAAGUUCUAUGCUCAAAUUUUAAAGAUUAUUCAAUUUCCACCGUCUAUUUUGACAUAAUUUAUUUACUAAGUAAACGAUGUCGAAAAAAACUAAAAUUUUAUUCCUAAGAACUUUUUAUACCCUAGAUCAUAUUUAAUGGUAUGAAUCGUUAAUUUGAACACCCUGAGAUCGAAAAUAAGACUAUAGUACCAGAGCUCCGGUAUUAUAGAUAGUAUAGUAGCCUAAUUCUAUAUGUAUAUAUGUAUUUCAUAACAUACAAUUUUUUUUUUAAUAUGUAAUCAACUUUUAAAAAUUUAAAUUAAUUCAAAAUAUUAUUUUAAUAAAUUUAGAUUUAAAUUUAUGAAUAAAAUUUGAAAU